CCUACGGGUGGCAGCAGUUGGGAAUCUUGCACAAUGGGGGGAACCCUGAUGCAGCGACGCCGCGUGGAGGAUGAAGGGUCUAGGCUCGUAAACUCCUUUUAUCGGGAAAACGGUACCCGAUGAAUAAGCACCGGCUAACUACGUGCCAGCAGCCGCGGUAAGACGUAGGGUGCAAGCGUUGUCCGGAUUUACUGGGCGUAAAGAGCGCGUAGGCGGUCUGUUAAGUGUAGAGUGAAAGCUCCGGGCUCAACCCGGAAAUUGCUCUGCAUACUGGCAGACUUGAGGGAUGCAGAGGUUUGUGGAAUUCCUGGUGUAACGGUGAAAUGUGUUGAUAUCAGGAGGAACACCCAUGGCGAAGGCAGCAAACUGGGCAUUUCUGACGCUGAGGCGCGAAAGCGUGGGUAGCAAACAGGAUUAGAUACCCUUGUAGUC
rnacentral:rRNA from 1 species